rnacentral:rRNA from 1 species
UGGGGAAUUUUGCACAAUGGGGGAAACCCUGAUGCAGCGACGCCGCGUGAUUUAGAAGGCCUUCGGGUUGUAAAAAUCUUUUCUAUGGGAAGAAAAUGACAGUACCAUAGGAAUAAGGACCGGCUAAUUACGUGCCAGCAGCCGCGGUAAUACGUAAGGUCCGAGCGUUGUCCGGAAUCAUUGGGCGUAAAGGGUACGUAGGCGGGUAAGCAAGUUAGAAGUGAAAUCCUAUAGCUCAACUAUAGUAAGCUUUUAAUUCUGCUCAGCUUGAGUUAUUGAAGUGAAAGUGGAAUUCCUAGUGUAGCGGUGAAAUGCGCAGAUAUUAGGAGGAAUACCGGUGGCGAAGGCGAGUUGCUGGCCAUAACCUGACGCUGAGGUACGAAGGCGUGGGUAGCAAACAGG